GCAUUUUAAUGGUGUGGAGUCAGGCCAGGCCAGGCCAGGCCAGGCCAGGCCAGCGCCACGCUGUGCCAUUUUCCCAUCCCAUCUAUACUACAGUAGAAGAGAUUUGAGCUGCAAAGUCACAUGGGCCGUGUGAAGAUCAAAAAGACGAUAGCGUGUCGGCGGAGGACAGAUCCCACCUCAAAGCCAGCAAACAUCAUCCCUCAUCAGGACUACAGUGCCUCGAGGAUUUGCUGUUAAUCUCUUAAUGCCAACACAUGUUGCGAGACAGCGGCCAAGUGGCUCAAGCGCAGCCAGGUCACUCAAUGACCGAUGAUGACUUUUACAGCGGUGUGGCAGCGCCAACGGACCGCUGUUCAUAUUUGGAAAGUCGUGGAAACAGGAUGGUCAGAGGCAGAGUGAAGGGUGCCAUUUGAUGCCUCAUCAGGCUCUUUGCUUGCAAGACUUUAUCAACGCUUUGAAGUUCUCCAUCAAUCCCACGGUGUGGUUUCAUUUGUUUCCAAAGUGUUCCUACUUGUUGCCAAAGACAUUUUAACAGUGAGACGAGACGUACGUACCUGCUAAGCAGCGCUCGACUGACGUCGGAGCGAGCGUGCAGCGACAGGCUUUGUGAGACACAACAACAGAAAGAACGAAAGAAACGCCAUUGAGUCCAAGUCAUUACAUGAACCACCAAUGAAAGACUCACUGUCCUCUGAUGUUGCCCAGUUACUCCAAACAUUCUUUGGUUUGGAUUAAAACAGUGAAGAAGCAAUGGUUUUCCGGAGAAGGAGCAUCACAAGUUGCCGUGCGAGGAACGUGGCGGAUGGAGAAGUGGAACAGAUGUUUUGUCUGUUCAAUGCUUUUCUGGAUGAGAGAGAGGAAAAGCUGGAGCGCUAUUAUCAUUGACAGGUCGUGGCAGGUGGAAAGCUGCAACGCUAUUAUCAUGGCAGCAGCAGGUUUGUUUGGCUGCUGCUUCACUUCUUCUCUGCUCUUCUCGUAGUUGACCUUGUUGAUUUGGAGCAACUCAUAACGAAUGUUGCCUUUCCGAACGGUUGAAAGGCCGGCCACAACCUUGACACUGUGAGAGCAAGGUGCUAAGCCCGAGCUGAGUGUGCCGCCUACCGUCAGGUCAAGCCAAUUGGAAUCACCUCUGCUUUCCUUCCCAUCACCACCUUUGUUAGGAUGAACAAGACAUUGUUCUUUUCUCUUACGUUCCUGACAAAAGACGACGGUGUCCAAAUCAAACAAAGAAUGUUUUGACGAGCUGAUCUCUCAACCUUUCCAUCUCGCUCACGUAUGGGAACGGACCACCUGAGUCCUGACCCCGUGUUAUGGGAUUCUGUGGGAAUGCGAGUCGAGGACCAAACAGAGACGCUCGGUCCUGUCUUGGCUUGACGCCGAUGACGCAAGCGGCGUCCGCAGAUGUUAGCGUUCCCAACCUCAAAUGACACUGCGCUCAUGCGCCAUCUAAGUAUACAUGGCGGCGACUGCUUUUUCACACGUGCUCAUGAAUGGCCUUUGGUGGUAAAGCCCAAGCACGCACGCACGCACGCACGCACAUAAUGAAUGGCGCGGCAGAGCAGCUUAGAAGAGAUACAAGGACAAAAGAGAAGUGGGUGCGACGCCACGCCAACAGUAACCUCACUUCCGCUAGCUUGCCUGCGUGGCUGCCUGCCUGCUUUGGGCGGGGAAUGAGAGAGCGCAUUUCGUAAAGCAGCCGCAAAAACUGGAAAAAAUGACAAGGGAGGUGAUUGGCUCUGAGCGUACUGCCUGACUCUUGCUCCCUUGUGAUUGGUUGACAGAUAUGGCCUCACCUUAACUGAGGGUUACUACGGUUCAGUGACGUGGAGAUUUCCUUCCCGGUAUUCGUGGGUGCGUGCAUGCGUGCGUGAGUGACUCUGGAGCGUGUUUUUCAAAUUAGCGACAGACAAGUCAGCAUGUUCAGACACAUUCCACGUCUUUCAGUCACUCACUUCCUCCCUCACUGUUGUAUCACUGCCAUUGAUCUGCUUCCGGUGGCCAGAAUGUGUCGCUUCCGGCCAGUUGAUUCCGGGGUAUGAAAGAAAAAUAGGAAUCAUGGCUCGGGUUCUAUUCGUAGCGUGCUAACCAAUGUCCAAGUAUUACUGUUCUCUGCCAAAGUGAAAAUCAGAGGGUGACUCGAAGCCUAACCUAAACCCUUGGCCAAACCUGAAGCCCCUUUUUGAAAGGACUUGUUGGAGUCUAUCCCAGAUGACUUUGGAUGGGAGUGCUCGCAAAUUCCAGGGUCCAUAUAAACCACCCAUUCACAUUGAUAAACCGAAUAUGCAUGUUUUUGGUUUUGAUUAUGUCUGAUCAAAUCAUGUAACUGGAAGUGGACAAAACAUUGUACAAAUAAUCUGGAUUUAGUAUCAUUGAACCACAAGUGACAGUUAGCAGAACUGCACAGCAAAUGAAAAAAGAAAGAAAGACAUCAACCUGACAAGAAACAUUUGAGUGAUCCUGACCCGGUACUUUUGUGUUAUCAUGCAAACAUGAUAGAAGCUGUAACCUCCUUGGCAAAGGGAAUCAUUACGCAACAUUAUUUGUUUAAUAGUGGAAAGUAAACAGAGAUGGUAACUUCAGGUCCACAAAUUGAAAACCAUUUGCCACAGAUGCAGGAGCUCCAGCAAGGUCCCUGCUGCUUGAGUAAAACUGAAAGUAGAACAAAUCACAUCACAUCAGGAGAAGCCAGACGUGGAAAUCCGUCGAAUGUUGGCUUUCCAUCCAAUUACAAAGUAUGUUGCAUGAGACCCGAGGUGUUUGUGUCAUGAGGGCAUUUGGCUGAGAAACAGGUGCCGUGCGUCUUCCCCGUCCGUCAAGGUGUGCAGGGAGCAACAAGGGACGACAUGCACACCGAGGUGAGGUUGCUGGACAUGUAACCGUUCAUGUUUUGGAAAUGUGAAAACCCAAAGCUUCAAAUUCUGGAUUGUGCAAGUGCAACCACCUACUCACUGUUGUGCUAAGUGAGCGAGCGAGCGAGCGGUGCAUGUUUGGCUUGUUCAUAAUGUCAUAAGUGGUCCCCCCACCCACCUUUGACACGUAUGCCUCAGCACAGCAGCAGCAUGAGACUUUUUGAAAAUGGGUGGAAGCCACGUCUUCCUGUCUCAGCCCCAUGAGUUCAAGGUCUUUGAUUGAAAGGCAAGAUUCAAGAGAUUCAAGGCAUGGCCCACAGCUGCCGCCGCCGCCGCCGCCGCCGCCGCCACCUCUGAUGAAUAAAGUUAAGCUCUUCAAGUCGGAUUUUGCACUAAUGCUGACUGGUAUUUGGAGCUCUUGCGUGAUUUGAACUGUGAUCAAACCAAAGUGUGUUUUGUGGCCCAUUCAAUUCCUUGAAAAUGAAUUUGUAGCCUUCUCCUGAGCGGCACCUUUGAACAAUGAUGCCGUGCUAGCUCUCCGCUAACAGUGAAAUGUGAGCGCAAAAGUGUCAGGAUAAGCCUCCUGGAACAUCUGAACUUUGCUUGGGCUUACCAUUUGAAUACGGAUCACGACACUUUUGCACUUUUCGUCUCCAUACGGUAGCAGAUUAGUACGCAGUCAGGUGAUGUGACGAGCGUACAAUGGUCUUGUGCAAACGUGUCGAUGACAUUCCAAAGCAGUGAGGGGAAAUGCCGCAAUAUGCGUCAUAAUGAGCUGGAUCUUUUGCAACAUUCUUACACUGGAUUGUGUUCAUCUCGGUUCUCCACACGGACAAUCGGAGGCAUACCGCCGCUCAGCAUUCACCAAAAAUGACAGUUGCUAAGCAUAACAAGAAGUCCAUUUUUCAGAUUGAAAAUGCAAUGAGUAAAGGGGCUAAGCGCGCCCACUUGGAGCUAACGUGCUGUGUGGCGCUAACUAACGUUUUGGACAUGGACAUCAAUCGUUGAAACCAUUGUUUUUGCCUUUGAAUGUGGUGUCCUUAUGGUAGAUGUCACCUGAGCUUGACACCCAAUGGGGUGCACACCUGUUCACACGCUAGCCCGGCCUCUUUCUGAGCCCUCCAACUCACCCUGAUGUCUCUAAAUCAGACCUGUUCCACCAGGCCCCUGAACAAAAGAAAAAGAACACCUCCUUGUAAAUGUCAUCGGAGGCACAACCAAAGUAACCAUUGUUUGCCUUUUCAGCGUAUAUCAAAGUGCACGGUGCGGGAAUCGUGAUCACUCACUCCUGUCUCUUCACCAAGUAGCCAUGGAGUGGUGUGAAGAAUCUGGGCAGCGGACAAAGUUAAGAGUCAGCAAAGAAGUCCAAGCCAGACUAGUUAGGUGAACAUUUUGGGAGAAAAAAAAAGAAUGAAGGUUUAUGUAAGCUAGAUAUAGAGCAUUUGAUAGGGCUAAACGGUGGAAAGAAUGUUAGCUCAGAGCUACAAAAGGUGCUGAAUUGAAAAAAAGCACUGGAGUGUAACAGUGGUGAGGAAGCGUGCCAUGCCUUUCCAAAUAUAUUCGCUUGCUUUGGGACGGACAGAUUCUGUGUUCUUGAAUUCAUUUGCUCAAGCUUCAUUUGAGUGUGUUGCUCACACAUCAUCUGGUCGGUCCCAGAAAAGCGACACAUUGCAAAAGGUUAACCUGCAAAUUGAAAGUUUGACUUGAAAAUACUUUGACUUUUAAAUGGUAACUCUAAGUGGAAAGCCCUCAUUUGAAAUCCUCUAACUGACUUGCGAGCGAUCAGUGUGAAAGUCAAAAGCAGGCAGGCAGGCAGGCAGGCAGAGCUGAUGCAAUUGCUCAUCCUGCUGCUGCUGCUGCUGUUUCACUGCAAUGAAUUGAUGUUCCGCUUUGGUGCCACGAGAGCACAUUUCCAGCCUUCCUUUUACAGCUGCCGCAUCUUCAUCAAAUCUGCCUUGGCCUCAAAGUGAAUGAACAAAUAGAAAGUUCAAGGGGAUGUGUCCAUUUUCUUGAUGUCUGUAUUUCCAUCAUGACGAACUAGGAUAUUUCCAGCGUGGAGGGAGGCCUCUUGUGUUGAACAUAGAACAUAGACAUACCAAGUGGUUCCUCUAUGUCAGAGUAAAGUCAAGUGUUCUGCUGAGGUAACCAGUGGUGAUCUUGGACACGUGAUAUCCACAGAAGAAGCCUCACUUUUAUUCUAUUAAUACACUCUUACAUGAGGCUAGGCUCUCCGUGCCAAAAAAGGUGCAACAAGCUGAGGACAAGGGCACCUUCACUUCUCAACUGGCUUGAUGGACGGCAGCCCAUUGGGCAGAAACUUGUGUUGACUCACUGGAAAGACAAAUGACGCACUGCAACUCGACGCCUCGCUUCACGCAAAAGAGCUCGGACUAAAUUAAGACUGGCGGCGGCAGCGGCGGCGGCAGCGGCGGAGGCAGCGGCGGCGGCGGCGGGGCAGCAGAGGGUGCAAGGGCGUCACCCCACCUCUGACGGUGACGGCGAGCACCGCAUUAUUUCCCUUGCAUAACAAUCAUGGGAAAAAAAAGCUUUCUUUCUAAUGUUCCUGACAACUCACUCAGCACUGCUAGCAGAAGGCCUUCCCGAUCCAUUGAAAGAAGCCCAGUAUCAUGAUUUUUUUUUUUUUCAUUCAUUUGUGUUGUCAGCUGACGUCUCAUCUUGGCUCGGGAACUCCGGCCGACCCCGGGGGAGCCGUGAGCAACAGCCGACUUCGACAAUAUUUACUUGCGACUCUCAAGAGUAUCUACAUUUGCCCCGUCCUCUCCUGCAUGCUUGAACGGAUAUCCAUCCAUCCAUCCAUCCAUCCAUCCAUCCAUCCAUCCAUCCAUCCCAUCCAUCCCAUCCAUCCCAUCCAUCCCAUCCAUCCCAUCCAUCCCAUCCAUCCCAUCCAUCCCAUCCACACUGGCUUGUUGGUAUUCCUGCAGUAUAUCUCAAUGGCAUCUCUGUGUUGUUGGAAUCAAUCACAGGGCCCCCCCUGAAAAAGCGCAUUACCCUCGGAACUCCUCGGUUUGGGUGUGAUUCUGGACAUCGGGAUGCCUAGAAAGCGGGCCAAUGCCAGUUUCCACGGUAGCCGAAUCAAAGGGAGUCUUUUCUGAGCCCGGUGUGUGUUUGUGAAGCGGGUGUGAAAAGAUGGCUCUGUAUGCCGGAGGUCCCGGCCAGGCCAGGUCCGCUGACAGCCGCUUUGCACUUCUCCCCUGCUCGGUGUGGAAGGGAAAAGACAGAAGGCACGUUUCCCGGUCCUGGCGAGGCGCCACUCGGGGGAGCGGCUCACUGUUGGGGUUUACAAGAGGAAGUAAACAGAGCAUUGUGCACGGUAAUCACAGCUUCAUGACAUGACCGGGCCUCAGAAAUGGUCAUAUUUUGCCAUCACAUGGGAGGAGAACAUAGUGGAGAUGUCUUACUCAAAGAAUACAUUUCUUGUGCAAAUGUUUACAAAUGACUCACGUCUGUGCAACUGGCACGCCUUAUCAUUUCUUUGCCUGGAUGUACGUUACUGACGGAUCUUGGUGGGAGCUUCUGUUCAACGCCCACGGUGACUCACCGGCUGGUAAAGAGGAGCUCACGCCUGGAGACAUCCUGAAAUGUGAGUUGACCGAUAAGACGCUUGAGUCCGACUUGGGAAACAAAAGGUUCACCAAAGGGUGAAGGGGAUAUUUCGGCACAACCAGUACCACCAGCCUUUCCGGUUAUCUCGAAUCAAGUUCUCGGAGGCCUCGAGAAUGUCAAGUGAAAGUUCAAGGAGUUCCCGUCAGUGUCUGAUUGCUGCAACCACCAUUACUAUUGACACUAGCAACUCAGUGAUGUGUUAUUGAAGGUUUUCCACGAUUUCAUGUUUCAAGGGCUGGCUCCCCGCGUAGCACACAAGGUAGGUUUGUUCACAGUUAUUAUCUUAGCACCACUGUGAAUACAAUAAUUCCGCUAAGGAUCCUAUCAUUCCUAAACAAGCACGGGGCAACUCUUACCACAGAAUUGAAAAGGGGCUGACUCGGCUUCCGAGCUGUCAGACCAAAGCCUGACUUUGCACUAUACCUAUAUACAUGGCAGCUUCAUUUCUAUUGUGGCAUGUGAAAAAGGCACCUGGGACAGACUCCCCACAUCGUGGCAGAUGGAAGAGCAACCGCACACCCACUCAGGUUUGGAGCCUUCGCUCCGAGGGGCCAAACAUAAUAAUAACCUUGCGUUUCGUCAAUUUGCACGCAGACGUUCCAUGUUACACGGCCAGCGAAAGCAGAACAUAACCACAUUGUGAAUGGUGGAAGUUGGAGGGAGUCAUUUGUUCAUCAUCUAAUUCGAGGGGGGGGUCAACGAAAUGUGACCCAGUCGUACAUUGACUUUUGAUUGACAACUUGCCCGUCUGUUCUCAACACACGUGAAACAAAGCGCAAACCGCAUUCUAUAGUCAGCAUUCUUUAUCUUCACACCUUAAACCACUAUUUUGGUUUUCUUCCAUUUGUUGUGCCAAUACACACAGCUCAUUCCUUGCCAUCGAGUAAGGGGCACGGCAAAAUACAACCUUUUGGUUCCCUCUGCUGGAUAUAGGGCUCCACUGCAGCUUUUUUUUGUCAAAUAUAUGACAACGUCAUAUUUGGGACGUGGCCUAGUGCAGUUAGAAUCAACCACAUGUAUUUUCACCCCCGGAGAAAUGCAACAUUUGAAAUAUGAAGACUACGACAAAUGUAUUUUGUGUAAGCCUAGCACUUCCGGGUUAUUUCCAAAGCAAAUACAUCGGAACAAGAUGGUAAUCCUCGUCACAGUUCAUUUCUUAAAAUGGCAAAUGUGCUAAUAUAUCAUAUUAUGACUUUAAUAAGAUAACUAUAAUGAAUGAACUGAUAGAAAAAAAGUCCGCAUUGUCAAGUUCUUCGAAAUUUGGCGUGUCAUAUACUGCGUUCCUACGUUAAACCCGGAAACGUCUUGCUCUUGUCUCAUCGCGCUUAUCUUUGUUCAUGUCUACGAGUACCCGAAUGGAAUGGGAUGGGAUGGGAUGGGAUGGGAUGGCGGCAGCCAUCUCGAGGACAUAGCAACCUGCUUAAUUCAUUCUGCUUUUACGUUCAUUCGGAGGUUGACUGGGAAACUGUAAAUGUACCUUCUCGAUUCGUUGUUUUUUUACUAUGGACCGUGACUGACAUUUUCUGAUUGCCAGAUGAACGUUUUAGGGACGGUACAAGAUAUGGCAGACUGCCUGAUUUGGGCUCAAGAGAAUGCACCACAAUUCAACUUUGACAAAGUAAGGAAUUUUGUUGUUCCCUGUCACGAUAAGGAGAUUGCCCUUUUUUUUUUUUUUUUUUAACUCCGUGAGUUUACUUCUGCAGCUACGGUACGUUUUGCCUAGCUCUUUCCCCAAUAGUCAUAGACAGCCAUCAGGGGACACUGCAGAAGCGCAUGAAAGUACAAUAAGCACUGUUGCGCCACCGAGCGUUGAGGUUGAUAAAUGACAUUUUUGAAGAAAAAAACCCAGCCCAUGGCAAAUGACUGUUUUGUCAACAUUUGUAUAAGUACUUCGUGUAUAAGUGUAUAAGAUACUUUACGUGCCGUGCCCUAUUUCUUGGAAUGUGUGCGUCUGACAAUACUUCAUGAAGCUUUUUACUUUUCUUUUGCCUCCACCCAUGGGGGACCGGGACGGGACGGGACGGGACGGGGGUCUUCUGGCACUUGUAAGUGGCUCUGAAUCUUCAAGCUGCGUUCCAAAAUGUCGCAAAGGACACUGGAGCUUGCGUUGUGCACACAAAAUCAAAGACAUUCCACAAUGCAGCAAUGCAUUUUGUAUUCACGGCGGUUGUUAAUGAAUGUCUCAAGGGGGUUCCCAGUUGCCGUCUCAUCCAACUCUAUUAGUUCUACACUUGUGACUCGCCCAUCCACUGUCAAAGCAAAUCAACAUGAGCUUGCUAAAUUGGGCUGCUUUUCAGACUUGCUUUUAGCAUAACUCGUUUCUCCAAAGAAGGAGCAUUAUUAAGGCUAGCUGUGUUUUGUUUAGGAUUGACAUUUGUUGAAGAAGCCCAUUUUUAGUUCUUUUGCAGGACAAUAUCGUUUGAAUCGGGCAUUCGGCGGCUGCGCAUUUGAAUUUGAAUUGAGGCGGUCUACAAAAUACAUUGUUUGCUCUUACUCGAAUGUUACAUUGCAGUUUCUGUGAUGAUGGACUAAAACAUAAUGGUUAUGUUUGUAGACCUAUUGUAACUUGUAAUAAAUUGAUCUGUGAAUUAUUGAUCAUUGACAAGU